rnacentral:lncRNA from 1 species
GUUAAGCAAAUUAAAUCACAACUCAGAAAUCACAACUGAAGGUAAUCAAUUUAUAUUACAAAUAUAUUCAUGGCUUUGAAUUAACCUCUAGCCAAAAUAAAUUUAGUUACACAUUAUAUUCAAAUUAAACCAAAAGUAAAACAUAGGUUUGAGAAGAUAAAACCAAGCAAAAUGGAGUGAAGCCUCUAAUUCUCUUCCUGCCUUGCUCUCUCCCUUGUCAGUCAGUCCGUGCUUUUCUGAUUUCUGCUCCUCUUCUCUGACCUGCUGUCUAUCUCCCUGCCCUCUCCUCUUUUUCCGCUGGUUUUUCUCUCUGUCCCCGUGCCUCUGUGCUUCUGUCCGUUCCCUAUUUGCCGCGCCAGUCUCUCCUCUCUCUCCCCGUUCUAUCUAUUUUUCUGCUCCCUCCGAGGCUCACGCUGCAAGGCAGCUUUCUGCUUCUGUUUUUCUCGCUGCCUAAGGCAGCUUGCUGCUCGUGCUCU